GACGAACGCUGGCGGUGUGCCUAACACAUGCAAGUUGAGCGACAACGCUUUGUGCGUUCACCAAUUUGAAGAGCGGCUAACGGGCGAGUAACGCGUAGGUAAUCUUCCUUUUAUCCGGGGACAACAUCUUGGAACGAAUUCUAAUACCGCAUAACACCUUUAAACAUAAGUUGUAAGUUUGAAACAUGCAAUUGCAUCACUCAAAGAUGAUCUCGCGUUGUAUUAGCUAGCUGGUGAGGUAAAGGCUCACCAAGGCGAUGAUACAUAGCCGACCUGAGAGGGUGACAGGCCACAUUGGGACUGAGACACGGCCCAAAGUCCUACGGGAGGCAGCAGUAGGGAAUCUUCGGCAAUGGACGAAAGUCUGACCGAGCAACGCCGCGUGAGUGAAGAAGGUUUUCGGAUCGUAAAACUCUGUUGGUAGAGAAAAACGUUGGUGAGAGUGGAAAGCUCAUCAAGUGACGGUAACUACCCAGAAAGGCACGGCUAACUACGU
rnacentral:rRNA from 1 species